GAUGAACGCUGACAGAAUGCUUAACACAUGCAAGUCAACUUGAACUUCGGUUUGGGUGGCGGACGGGUGAGUAACGCGUAAAGAACUUGCCUCACAGAUAGGGACAACAUUUGGAAACGAAUGCUAAUACCUGAUAUUAUGAUUUUAGGGCAUCCUAGGAUUAUGAAAGCUAUAUGCGCUGUGAGAGAGCUUUGCGUCCCAUUAGCUAGUUGGAGAGGUAACGGCUCACCAAGGCGAUGAUGGGUAGCCGGCCUGAGAGGGUGAUCGGCCACAAGGGGACUGAGACACGGCCCUUACUCCUACGGGAGGCAGCAGUGGGGAAUAUUGGACAAUGGACCAAGAGUCUGAUCCAGCAAUUCUGUGUGCACGAGGAAGUUUUUCGGAAUGUAAAGUGCUUUCAGUUGGGAGGAAAAAAUGACGGUACCAACAGAAGAAGUGACGGCUAAAUACGU
rnacentral:rRNA from 1 species